AAACACGGUUUUGAAAUGCAAAGCUAGCACUCCAAUUAUCUCACAAUUUGUGUUCCCAACUUUUCAUACAGACUCAAAACCAGGAGAGCUUUGCAAAGGAUUAAAUUUCUCUUUGAAGGUUUAUAUUUUUUAUUUGGUUCUUCAAGCUCUAUACAAUGUGGGUUCUUUUGUAGAGCAUCGUCCCAGACUAAUACUCAGGUUAAUAAUCCAAGAAUUGUUCUUAUAAAAUAAAGUAGUAGUGCUUGCCAUGAGCUUUAGAGUGGAGCUCCCAAGCUAGAUGUCACUCCGAAGUUUUUAAUGAUGGAUUCCUCUUCUGGUAACCACAAAAACUGAAAAGGGAGGAACCUCGACUUCAAGUGUUCCUGCUAAUGGGGAUAUGUUUGGACGAGUUGUAAAUGGUACUGGUGAGACUGAAGGCAAGCGGCUAGCGUUUUUAGUGGAGUGGUUAAAUAGUUUACUUCCUGAGGACUUGAGAUCAGUAUUGAUUGAUGGUACCAUUUUAUGUAGGCUAUUGAACAGGCUUAGACUUUGUUCUGUUGACGAGGGUGAUUGAAUGUCUGGUAUCUUUGUGAGAUUUUCCUUGUUCAUAAGUUCCCUCUUACUCAUUUUCUGGUUUAUAUUAUUGUGCAGGGAUCUAUGAAGACUGUUAUAGAUUGUCUUUUAACACUUAGAACACGACUUGGGUCAAGUGUUGCAGCAGAAGGUUUUUCUCUGUUUAGUCCAACUGGUAACUAUGACAGCCCUCGAAGAGAUUUAUCUUCCCGUGGAUUUAGUUCUCCGUUAACUAUAGAAGAGAGGCAGAAGGUUUUUGUCUGAGUCAAAAUAUCAACGUGCAUUGUGUAAUCCUGUUAUGUCAGUUGAUCUUUGACGCAACUUUACCUUCCACAGAGCCAUCAGUAGAAUUAAUGCAUCAUGUUGGACAUAAGUUCCAUGAGGUAUUUCAGAUAAGACAAGGAUGCUACGUGGAUCUUCCUGCUGCAAAGAUCUCAGAAAUGAUGAAAUUCAACAGUUUAGAUGUAUGCUGUCGAUGUACCUGGAAACAAA